AUGAAUCGGCGAUCAGAACACAUAUGGGUAGAACUUCGAAAAGGUUCUCGAAAAAGGGGUAAAUUUUUCUGGGCCUGUAUUCUUUUUCUAGGUUCACUAGGAUUCUUAUCGGUUGGGAUUUCCAGUUAUCUUGGUGAGAAUAUUAUAUCUAUACUUCCAUCUCAAGAAAUUCUAUUUUUCCGCAGAGGGCCGCGAUGUCUUUCUACGGAAUUGCAGGCCUAUUCAUUUAGCCUAGAUUUUUGGUAA
rnacentral:rRNA from 1 species